GUUGGGAAUCACUGCCUUAAAGGCACCUGAUCCUGCCUGAUGUUGGAUCCUAGGUAGGGUUAGCUUUGGUUAGUACCUGGAUGGGAGGCUACGAAUGAAUAUCAGAUGCUGUACACCAGUGGUUCCCAACC
rnacentral:rRNA from 11 species